CUCUUUAAAACGUCAGAUAGCAGCUGGCGCACAAGACGUAGAAGAAGAAGCAAACACCCCGGGAAAUUUCUUGUUCCGGUUGGGAAUUUUGACGUGCUUCCCACAUCGGCUACAUCACAUUUCAAGGAUAACAACAAAAACUAACGUGGCCAGUUUUUCAAAAUGUCUAACACGAAGCUCCAGCUGUUUCGGAGUUUCCUCACUGAGCGGCUUACGGCUGUGGCUGUGGAGAUAUUUGGAGAAGUAGAGAGUAUGGUGGAGGGAUACUGCGAGGAAAACAGACGUCUGCAGGAUUUACUGAACAUGGUGCUCAGCCCCGAGCUAAAGUUACACAGGAUAGACCACGUUAAACAGGCAACAGCAGCUGCAGCUGUCCAUGAACAACCAUCUGAGCAGAUUGCUGAUCUGGACCUGGUGAAGCCAGAACCAUGGUUUUCAAAAAUCAAAGAGGAGCAGAUUGAAUAUGAGACUAGCCCGGGAGAACAACCGCCUCAAGGGUUUGAGGGAGCUGAGGCUUUGAACUUCGACACAGCAGUCUUGGUGAAAACAGACACUGAAGAAGACUUAAAUUCGCAUCACACCUCAAAUCCAUUCAACAUUCAAGUUGUGGAGUUCAAAAGUGAAUCCUCAUCGUCCACUAUCACAGCUGAUGAAGAGGAUGCUGAAAGUGGAAGUGAGUCCUAUGAAGACAUGGAGGCAUCCACUGAUGAUCUGCCUCUGUCCGGAGGAAGUCACGAUAGAUGUUCGAACUGUUCAGGGUGUGACGAAUGUGGGGAAAAUUCGAAGAAAAAGAAGGUGAAGAGACCUCUGCAGAAGACCAUGCUCGAGUUUCCAAGGAUGAUGCACCACAAAUCCUUCUCUGGUAAACUGACUGACUGCAGGCCUUUUUUGUCAAGGCUCUCAGAUGCCUUCAGUGACAUCCCUGAUGACAAAAAACCUCUUAUAGCCAAGAUGGGCCUGAGUGAGAAUGUGGAGAUGGUUGAUUGCGCUUUUGGUAAAGUUCCUAAAGGCUGCCCCCUGUCCUACCAGUGCCCUGUCCCGUCAAGUAGAGAUUACAGUCCCCAUUGGGAUGCCCCCCCUCUUCCAUCGCUUCCCCUGGCUGCUCACAAACUAGAGCCAGUAGCGGCGCUCCCAGCCCUCACUGCCAGGGAGCAGGAACACCUGAAUGCCCUCCAGACCUCAUGGGACGCAGCGUACGCUCUUGAACUUAGCACCCGCGAGGUCAAGGAGUCAGUGGAGGAACUGCGGAGGGCGCGCUUGACUGACCGUUUCAGGGAAAUCUGCCACCUUAAACCAGGAACGAGUCACGUGGAGCACCUGAUAUUCAAGAUGCAGAAAGGAACUAAGGAUCAAGAUAAAGAUAAGGACCAGAUGCUCGAAGCUCUCCGGGAAUACUGCAAGCAAGUGUUUGUCAACUGGUCGCCCUGUGGCUUGGUUGUCCAUCCAGACGCUCCAUGGCUGGCGGCAGUGCCUGAUGGCCUGGUGUACGACCCCUCUGAGACCCACAACUAUGGCCUGGUGCAUGUCAGAUGCCCCCAAAUCCGGAGCUUUGUCAACAGCCAGUUUCUGGAUUUCCAACGGGGAGCCUUGGAGCUGAGGAAGAACCAUGCUUACUACUGGCAGAUACAAGGGGAGAUGAUGGUAACGGGCACUGACUGGUGCGAUCUGGUAGUGUACACACAGGAAGACAUACUGGUUCAGCGUGUCUACCGAAACACGGCCAUGAUAAAGCCCAUGAAGGAAAAGUUGGACCGCUUCUUCUUCCAUUACUACCUGCCAAGUUUGACCUCUGUCUGAUUUCAUGGCGUGGAUGUUGCAGGAUUGCUGUUCUGUUCUGUAUGUUGUUCACAUCAGGCAGGUAUUUCACAAAGCAGGGUUAGAAAGUUAGCCAGAUAAUUGAAAAUGAAAUGUUAUAUUCUGGCAACAGUGCUUUGAAUAUAUAACACAAAUUUUGAAUGAUAGGCUUAGCAACAGGAAUUGGUGAUACAUGCUGAUGAUUACUCAUAAUAGAUAAAAUUUCAGAAGCUAUAUUUCCUUACACUUUUCAAAAUUAGCUGGCUAACUUGCUAAUCCCGCUUUGUGAAAUACCUGCCUUUAGGUAGUGUUUAUGUGAUUUAUCUGUAUUUUUUCCUCACUGGGGAAAUAAUCAGAUCUAAGAUCUUCAAACCUAUAUUUUUAGUUUCUGUGAUAUGUUCUGCUUUAUUUCUACUCUCUAAAGAUGCUGUUUAAGUGUUCAUCCUCACGUGAGAGGGAAAGUGAUGUGUUGAGUUAAGUUUUUUUUUUUUUUUGGCCUGUGCUGGACUUGACAUGAUUGUAAGUCAACACAAAUGUUAAAUUUCAAGGCACUGUCAGAGUAUAAGCAGCGUGUAAAUCCAGCAAAUUAUGCUCUCAGUUAUUUAAACAGGUUUGAACAAUGUCCUGAAAUAAAUUCACGUUUUAUGGCUGUGCUUCCUCCAUUUCAUAAACCUUGAGAGGUCAGGGAUAAGUUAUUAGACAUGUAGAAGUGAGUGAUAAAUAUCAGGGUAGAAGUUAUAAUCUGAGUGGCGGUCUCUAAAAUAACUGGGGGAGGAGAUAAACAAACAAUAGGCUAACGGGUAUGCUCUUGGUGUGUGUUUGCGAGACAGAAUUUCAUAGUCUGGUCCUGAGGUGGCCAUAUUGCAGCAACCAAGUUUCAGUUGCCUGAAAUCCUGAAAUAUGGCCAGCCAGGCCCAGCACCAGGAUGAAGCGACUGACUGCACCCAACAAACAACACUGUCCACUGUUUGAAACAACAGCAAUGCAAAAAUCAUCAAAGCAAAGCUUGUGCAAGUUAGCAGGUGAAUUCCAGUUGUGUGCAGCUGUUUUUUGUUUAUU
ensembl:lncRNA